AACUGCUUUGGAGCCAGUAGCACUCAGCAGCUAGAGCAGCGGCGUCUCUCUUCCUCAUCGCAAAAUGGGUGUUUUCAGGUCAACUGAGGAUUCAAAUCCAGCGGGUCCAGCUCAAGAUAUAGAUAAAACAAUUCCAACUCUUAAAAAGGGAGUGAAAAGUGCAUUCUUCACAAAGGCAAAAUAGAGAACAUAUUAUACCUCAUAUGAAAGGAAG